UACGGAAGGCAGCAGUGGGGAAUAUUGCACAAUGGGCGCAAGCCUGAUGCAGCCAUGCCGCGUGUAUGAAGAAGGCCUUCGGGUUGUAAAGUACUUUCAGUCGUGAGGAAGGUGUUAAGGUUAAUAACCUUAGCAAUUGACGUUAGCGACAGAAGAAGCACCGGCUAACUCCGUGCCAGCAGCCGCGGUAAUACGGAGGGUGCGAGCGUUAAUCGGAAUUACUGGGCGUAAAGGGCACGCAGGCGGUUAAUUAAGUUGGAUGUGAAAUCCCCGGGCUUAACCUGGGAAUGGCAUUCAAGACUGGUUAGCUAGAGUCUUGUAGAGGGGGUAGAAUUCCAUGUGUAGCGGUGAAAUGCGUAGAGAUGUGGAGGAAUACCGGGUGGCGAAGGCGGGCCCCUGGGACAAAGACUGACGCUCAUGUGCGAAAGCGUGGGGAGCAAACAGGGAUUAGAUA
rnacentral:rRNA from 1 species